rnacentral:snoRNA from 1 species
ACCCUCUCAGGGCCACACCUGGAGAGUUUCUAGUACUCUACCAGUCUCGACUAAGGGAGGGAGAGUCAAACAGAGGCAUAUCCAUUCCAUUUUUAGCUUGGGCAAUGGCUAGUGAGUGGAAGACAAUCUGCUACAGGU